AGUUCUUCGCAACAACCUAGUCGGCGUACGGAUGAGUCACACGUGUGUAACCUGCCGCAAUGAGGGGGAUAGCCUUCCGAAAGGAAGACUAUUACCGCAGUAAUAUUAAAUGAUCUCAUGGACAUUUAAUUAAAGGAGUAAUCCGGAUUGAGAUGGACCCGCGGCGCAUUAACUAGUUGGUGAGGAAACGGCUCACCAAGGCCACGAUGCGUAGCCGACCUGAAACCUGGAUCAACUCCAAUGGAACUGAGAUNCGGGCCAGACUUAUACGGGAGGCAGCAGUGGGGAAUAUUGCACAAUGGGCGAAAGCCUGAUGCAGCAACCCCCCGCGAGUGAUGAAGGCCUUCGGGUUGUAAAACUCUGUCUUUGGGGACGAUAAUGACGGUACCCAAGGAGGAAGCCACGGUUAACUACCUGCCACCAGCCGCGGUAAUACGUAGGUGGCAAGCGUUGUCCGGAUUUACUGGGCGUAAAGGAUGCCUCGGUGGAUAUGCAAGCCAGAUGUGAAAUACCCGGGCUUAACUCGGGUGCUGCAUUUGAAACUAUCUAUCUAGAGUGCAGGACAGGGAAGUGGAACUCCUAUUGUAGCGGUGAAAUGCGCCGAGAUUAUGAAGAACACC
rnacentral:rRNA from 1 species